rnacentral:rRNA from 1 species
GUAACGCGUGAGCAAUCUACCUUAGUUACAGGGAUAGUCCGAGGAAACUCGGAUUAAUACCUGAUAUUCUUUAUUUCUCGCAUGAGAAUAAAAGGAAAGGUCAGCCGAACUAAGAUGAGCUCGCGUUCUAUCAGCUAGUUGGUGAGGUAAAAGCUUACCAAGGCUACGACGGAUAGCUGGUCUGAGAGGACGAUCAGCCACACUGGGACUGAGACACGGCCCAGACUCCUACGGGAGGCUGCAGCAGGGAAUAUUGUGCAAUGAACGAAAGUUUGACACAGCGACACCGCGUGUGGGAUGACGGAUCUAGGUUUGUAAACCACUUUCAGGAGGGAAGAAAAUGACGGUACCUCCACAAGAAGCCCCGGCCAACUACGUGCCAGCAGCCGCGGUAAUACGUAGGGGGCGAGCGUUGUCCGGAUUUAUUGGGCGUAAAGAGCUCGUAGGCGGUUCAACAAGUCGGUCGUGAAAGUUCAGGGCUCAACCCUGAAAUGUCGAUCGAUACUGUUGUGACUAGGAUACGGUAGAGGUGAGUGGAAUUCCGAGUGUAGCGGUGAAAUGCGUAGAUAUUCGGAGGAACACCAAUUGCGAAGGCAGCUCACUGGACCGCUAUCGACGCUGAGGAGCGAAAGCUAGGGGAGCAAACAGGAUUAGAUACCCUGGUAGUCCUAGCUGUAAACGAUGGAUACUAGACGUAGGAACUGGAUUGACGGUUUCUGUGUCGUAGCUAACGCGUUAAGUAUCCCGCCUGGGGAGUACGGUCGCAAGACUAAAACUCAAAGGAAUUGACGGGGACCCGCACAAGCGGCGGAGCAUGCGGCUUAAUUCGAUGAUACCCGUAGAACCUUACCCUGGACUGACAUAUAGG